rnacentral:rRNA from 1 species
UACGAGGGGGGCGAGCGUUGUUCGGAAUUAUUGGGCGUAAAGGGUGCGUAGGCGGUUUUGUAAGUCUUAUGUGAAAUCUAUGGGCUCAACUCAUAGACUGCAUGAGAAACUGCAGGGCUCGAGUAUGGGAGAGGUGAGUGGAAUUUCCGGUGUAGCGGUGAAAUGCGUAGAUAUCGGAAGGAACACCUGUGGCGAAAGCGGCUCACUGGACCAUAACUGACGCUGAAGCACGAAAGCUAGGGGAGCAAACAGG